AGAAUCUAACCUAAAAACGCCAAAGUUUCGUCCCUACAACUGCAAGUUGUAAGUGUACUCCAACUCCAAUGUGACUUUGUGACGAUAUAUUUACGCUUCGAUCAGAUUGAACAAGUUUUGUUUAAUAUAUACGUAAAGAUUUCAUAUUUUAAAAGCAAAGUGUAUUUACUUGAUCUACAAUUCCUCGAAAAGCAUGUCGACAUUUACUUUUGGAUCGCCUUCGACAACAAACAAUACAAACUUCGGAUUUGGACAAAAACCAGCAACAGGUUUUAAUUUAACUAGCGUACCAUUUGGUUCGACUACACCCGCAUCUACGCUGUCUUUUGGAGCUUCCACGAUACCAGCAACAACUAGUAGUCUAAGUUUUGGGUUCAAUAGCACCCCUGGAAUUUCCACCCAAGCACAAUCGAGCAACCUAGUUUUAGGAUCUAAUGUAGCAGCCACAACAACUGCUACUAGUUUAUUUCCAACUGCUACUACUAGCACGUCGCUAUUCAGCAAUCUUUCUUUUGGGGCACCUGCAGCAAGUACUAGUUUAACAUUUGGUACUCCAAGUAAUACAUCUACCACUGGGAAUCUUACAUUUAGCGCACCUACUACUACAACACCACUUUUUGGUGGAUCUAUUACCAGUGGUGGUUUAUUAGGAUCCAAGCCACUUACCAGUACUAGUGUUACAACCACCACGAAUAAAGGCCUAGGAGGUUUAGAUGUAUCGGUAAGCAAUAAAGGUCUUUCGCAAGGAAGCAAUAGUCCAGCUACUACUAAAGACAAUGUUUGGCCACCGGAAUUAAUGCAGACAAUAGACAAAUUCAAAGAGUUUGUGAAAGAACAGAAGGUGUUGUCUUCGGAUAUAGCAAGGGGUUCUGCGAGACCGCUAAAUCGAUGCGCAGAAGAUACAACUUUGUUAAUGGAAAUGUUAACGACGUUAGCUGGUUCUGUCCAAAGAGAUCGUUCUUCGGCUGAUAAAUUAAAGCAAGAUACAGCGAGAGCAUUACAAAACGCAGAAAUAGCACAAAGGACACACGAUACUCCAUUAGGAUUACAAUAUGAAAAUAACGCGCCAUUGUUAUUUUUCAUGGAAUUAGUUGAUAAUUUUGAACACGAUUUAAUGCUGUUUAGGUCUCAAAUUGAAACAACAGAGAAGCAUAUACAAGCAAUGAUGACUCCGAAAACUUUAACACCGCAAGAAUUAACAAUGGCUAUGAGUAAACUUCACGAGUCCCUGGUAGCUGUUGCUGGUAAAUUACAAGGAGUGCAUUCUAAAGUACAGCAACACAAGGAACAGUAUCUGAAUUUUAGGAAGUAUGUUUUGAAAGACAAUACAAAUGUUUUCGAAGAUGUUAAAACGGACGGGAAAACAUUUCGACAUAACUUCGGAAAAAUUACAAGUGGUCCGACUCCAUUUGGACCUGGAAACAAAAGCUUUCUUUCGUCGACAGCUUUGAACUCUAACAGACCGGGAACUUACGAAACUCGAAAUCCAUUAGGAAAAGAGUAAGGGGUCUAUUUUAGUUUGCGAGGUAUUCAAUUUUUUACUUAGACUUCUUGUGUUGUCAUUUGUGGGAAGGGAUACCAAAGCUUGCGUAUCUAACACGUAUUACUUACAUAAGAAAACAUAUCUAUUAUUGUAAUAAUGACGGAAUAAAUGUUUUUCUUCUCUUUUUGUAAUAUCCAUUACAAAAUAGGAAUGUACGAAGAAAAAUUGAAACCUUAAUUGAGGAAUGCUUAUUAAGGAAUGGCUGUGUUUUAUAUGCGCUUAAAUUGCUUCUGUCGUCUUGGUGAUUAUGAAAGCGUUCGCGUCGACUCGAGUGUAUAAUAUUUCAUAGAACAUAUGGGAUUUGUGUCGUGCAUAAAAACCUUCCUAAUAUUUUAUGGGUACAUUUGGGGAAAUGCGAUACCAACAUCAUCUGCUACUAACAUUAAUCUAGGCCCAUCAUUGAAACCGCCAACUGCAAGUUUGACUUUUAAUAUUCCAACAAACCUUACUGCACCUUUACCAACAAGCGAGUCGAGUAC